rnacentral:rRNA from 1 species
UACGAAGGGGGCGAGCGUUGUUCGGAAUUACUGGGCGUAAAGGGCGCGCAGGCGGUCGAUUAAGUCGAGUGUGAAAGCCCCCGGCUCAACUGGGGAGGGUCACUCGAUACUGAUCGACUUGAAGGCAGGAGAGGGAAGCGGAAUUCCCGGUGUAGUGGUGAAAUGCGUAGAUAUCUGGAGGAACACCGGUGGCGAAGGCGACAUCCUGGACCGGUAUUGACGCGUGAGGCGCGAAAGCCAGGGGAGCAAAGCGGGG